AACGAACGCUGGCGGCAGGCCUAACACAUGCAAGUCGAGCGAGGACUUCGGUUCUAGCGGCGGACGGGGGAGUAACGCGUGGGAAUGUGCCCUUCUCUACGGAAUAGCCCUGGGAAACUGGGAGUAAUACCGUAUACGCCCUAUUGGGGAAAGAUUUAUCGGAGAAGGAUCAGCCCGCGUUGGAUUAGGCAGUUGGUGGGGUAAUGGCCUACCAAGCCGACGAUCCAUAGCUGGUUGGAGAGGAUGAUCAGCCACACUGGGACUGAGACACGGCCCAGACUCCUACGGGAGGCAGCAGUGGAGAAUCUUAGACACUGGGGGCAAACCUGAUCAAGCCAUGCCGCGUGAGUGAUGAAGGCCUUAGGGUUGUAAAGCUCUUUCAGCUGGGAAGAUAAUGACGGUACCAGCAGAAGAAGCCCCGGCUAACUCCGUG
rnacentral:rRNA from 1 species